UUCAUCUCUCAUGCUCUCUCUUUCGUUCUAUUACAAUGGAAAUCAUCAAACAGAUCAAUUUUCACAAGAAGAAAUUACACAUACUAUUGUUCGCGUUGAGGAAGCAGUGAGGAUGUUGCCGAUGGUAAUCAAGUGAAUCAAAGGCACGAUGGAUGAUUGCGUUGCAUAUGAUAGGAUUGAGCUUGGACUUUUAUGGAUCCGUGAGCCAUCAUUUGAUCCAUUUUGGUAACCUAUUGAUGGUGUUGUGCUCCUUGUGCAUUAUUUGAUCUGAUAAUUGUAUUUGUAUUUGAACUUAUGUAUGGAUUGCUAUAAUCCUUGAAUGCAUUUAGUUGUCUCUACUUAAUUUC